GACGAACGCUGGCGGCGUGCCUAAUACAUGCAAGUAGGACGCAGUUGCGAACGGGUGAGUAACGCGUAGGUAACUACCUAUUAGAGGGGGAUAACUAUUGGAAACGCUAGCUAAUACCGCAUAAUAGUAGAUGGACAUGCGUUGUAUUAGCUAGUAGGUAGGGUAAAGGCCUACCUAGGCAACGAUACAUAGCCGACCUGAGAGGGUGAACCGACAAAAUGGGACUGAGAAAAGGCACAGACGUCUACGGGAGGCAGCAGUAGGGAAUAUUCGGCAAUGGGGGGAACCAUGACCGAGCAACGGCGAGUGAGUGAAGAAGGUUGUCGGAUCGUAAAGCUCUGUUGUUAAGGAAGCGGUACAUAACCAGAAAGGGACGGCUAACUACGUGCCAGCAGCCGCGGUAAUAC
rnacentral:rRNA from 1 species